CCCGCCGGCGACCGGCGCACGGUGAGUAACACGUAUGCAACCUGGCCGCCACAGGGGGAUAACCCGCGGAAACGCGGCCUAAUACCCCGUGACGCCACCGGAGGGCAUCCUCCGGUGGCCAAAGGAGCGAUCCGGUGGCGGAUGGGCAUGCGGCGCAUUAGCUAGACGGCGGGGUGACGGCCCACCGUGGCGACGAUGCGUAGGGGUUCUGAGAGGAAGGCCCCCCACCACUGGGACUGAGACACGGCCCAGACUCCUACGGAAGGCAGCAG
rnacentral:rRNA from 1 species